UAUAAGCUCAGUGAAGACCAGUGGUUUUUUUUUUUUUCUACUCCUGUAGCCUAGAGUUGAGUGCUUCAUACAUAUUUGUUGAGUGAGUGAGUGCCAACUUCCCAUUAAUCAUGAAGCAGUGGUAAAACAAAGGUUGAUUAGGAUGGGCAAAAUCCAGUACACUAGGUCUUAAGAAAAGAGUGGACAGAAAGCAGAUGUGGGGGUGAGGGAUUGGCCUCAGGGCCCCUUGCCUUUGUGGAAGAGGUUUUACAAUGAGGGUUUCUGCCAACUCGCAUGGCGGUGCUGUAAAAACUUAGAAAAGGGGUUCUUCCUCUGAAUGGACACAAACUUGCCCUGGAGAGAAGUAAGGACAGGCAGAAGUCCCAGGGCUCAGCGAGGAGGGCUCACCAGGCACAAUCCUAUGACAGCCUAGGUCACAGGCCCACCCAGAGCACCUAGGUCAGAGGGGGCAGGGCACCUGUACACAGCAGAGGUCAACUGCUGUGCUUGAUAGUCCUCACGACUUACGUCUCUCUGCAUGGACAUGGAUGAGAAGCUUACUUUUGUACUGUUCUUCCAAUCCCAGCUCCAGUGUAAUCUGGCCUAAUCCAAUACAUGUAACGUAACUAUUCUAGGUACAAAUUGAAUUUAAGGGCUAAAAUGAUACCGUUCGUGUUCUCUAGGAAUUUUCAAUCUAGAGGAAAGAUCACACAGUGUCCACACAGCUGGGUGAGAUGAGAAUUUGUAACCCAACUGUGCACAGAGAGCUGCUGUGCUGGGGGAAAUGAAUGGAAGACGCAGAGCAUAGUUUGAAUGACGUGCUCUUCCCCUAAUUCGCUCUCCUACUGCCUGACCCCAUCCUCUGCAGAACGUUUCUACGUUCAGAAAACUUACGGUCCCCUUCUGAGGUGCUUCCUCUCCCACCUGCAGCUGCAAAUGCCUGCCCGUGUCUGAACUUUCAAGAUGGAAGUGGGUUCAGUUCUUUUCUUCGGAGGUUCUUAGAGCAAUUAGGAAGUCACCGCUAGAGAGGAGAAGGUACCACUCAACGGACCUGGCAGCCUUCUCUGUGCCUUGGCACCACAGCUCUGCCAGACCCAGGAACCCUGGCAGGCCUCAAAGAACUGUGCAGAGAUGGGUGAGCUGCCUACACAACCUGCUCUUCCCAGGCACACGGCUAGACGACAUUUUCCACGAGUGGUCUGGAGCGGGGUGUAGUCCUGUGCCUGAGGUCAGCCCAACGGAGCAAGAGGAGACCAUGUCUAGCAUCCCCAGUCCCAGCUCAGGUAAACCACCUGGGUAACCCUGCACUCCUCCCCUCCUUCCACCCUGCCCAUGCCCCACAUAGCCACUGAGGGAUGCUCCAGCAGCUGCCUGCCAAACAUGGCAGGCUCUCUACCUGCCUGGAUUUCUGAAUUGACUGUGUAGUGGAACAAUGCCAUCCUUUUUGAUUCUUUUCACCAGUGAGACUUUAAUUAAGCAACAAGUAAAUUUCUAUUGUGCUAAGGCUA